AGUGAACGCUGGCGGCGUGCUUAACACAUGCAAGUCGAACGAGAACGGAAUAUAGCUUGCUAUAUUUGUCAGCUAAGUGGCGCACGGGUGAGUAAUGUAUAGACAACCUGCCCUUAAGGAAGGAAUAACAGUUGGAAACGACUGCUAAUGCCCUAUAUGCCUUUAAUACAUAAGUAUGCAAGGGAAACGCUUUAGUGCUUAAGGAUGGGUCUGUAUGGUAUCAGCUUGUUGGUGAGGUAAUGGCUCACCAAGGCUAUGACGCCUAACUGGUUUGAGAGGAUGAUCAGUCACACUGGAACUGAGACACGGUCCAGACUCCUACGGGAGGCAGCAGUGGGGAAUAUUGCACAAUGGACGAAAGUCUGAUGCAGCAACGCCGCGUGGAGGAUGACACAUUUCGGUGCGUAAACUCCUUUUAUAUAGGAAGAUAAUGACGGUACUAUAUGAAUAAGCACCGGCUAACUCCGUGCCAGCAGCCGCCGUAA
rnacentral:rRNA from 1 species